GAUGAACGCUGGCGGCGUGCCUAAUACAUGCAAGUCGAGCGAACGGACGAGAAGCUUGCUUCUCUGAUGUUAGCGGCGGACGGGUGAGUAACACGUGGAUAACCUACCUAUAAGACUGGGAUGACUUCGGGAAACCGUAGCUAAUACCGGAUAAUAUUUUGAACCGCAUGGUUCAAAAGUGAAAGACGGUCUUGCUGUCACUUAUAGAUGGAUCCGCGCUGCAUUAGCUAGUUGGUAAGGUAACGGCUUACCAAGGCAACGAUGCAUAGCCGACCCGAGAGGGUGAUCGGCCACACUGGAACUGAGACACGGUCCAGACUCCUACGGGAGGCAGCAGUAGGGAAUCUUCCGCAAUGGGCGAAAGCCUGACGGAGCAACGCCGCGUGAGUGAUGAAGGUCUUCGGAUCGUAAAACUCUGUUAUUAGGGAAGAACAUAUGUGUAAGUAACUGUGCACAUCUUGACGGUACCUAAUCAGAAAGCCACGGCUAACUACGUG
rnacentral:rRNA from 1 species